GUCGAACGGAAAGUGCCCAGCUUGCUGGGUGACUCGAGUGGCGAACGGGUGAGUAACACGUGGGUGAUCUGCCCUGCACUUUGGGAUAAGCCUGGGAAACUGGGUCUAAUACCGAAUAGGACUACGAAUCGCAUGGUUUGUGGUGGAAAGCUUUUGCGGUGUGGGAUGGGCCCGCGGCCUAUCAGCUUGUUGGUGGGGUGAUGGCCCACCAAGGCGACGACGGGUAGCCGGCCUGAGAGGGUGUCCGGCCACACUGGGACUGAGAUACGGCCCAGACUCCUACGGGAGGCAGCAGUGGGGAAUAUUGCACAAUGGGCGCAAGCCUGAUGCAGCGACGCCGCGUGAGGGAUGACGGCCUUCGGGUUGUAAACCUCUUUCAGUAUCGACGAAGCCUUCGGGUGACGGUAGGUACAGAAGAAGCACCGGCCAACUACGUGCCAGCAGCCGCGGUAAUACGUAGGGUGCGAGCGUUGUCCGGAAUUACUGGGCGUAAAGAGCUCGUAGGUGGUUUGUCGCGUUGUUCGUGAAAACCGGGGGCUUAACCCUCGGCGUGCGGGCGAUACGGGCAGACUGGAGUACUGCAGGGGAGACUGGAAUUCCUGGUGUAGCGGUGGAAUGCGCAGAUAUCAGGAGGAACACCGGUGGCGAAGGCGGGUCUCUGGGCAGUAACUGACGCUGAGGAGCGAAAGCGUGGGGAGCGAACAGGAUUAGAUACCCUGGUAGUCCACGCCGUAAACGGUGGGUACUAGGUGUGGGUUUCCUUCCUUGGGAUCCGUGCCGUAGCUAACGCAUUAAGUACCCCGCCUGGGGAGUACGGCCGCAAGGCUAAACUCAAAGGAAUUGACGGGGGCCCGCACAAGCGGCGGAACAUGUGGAUUAAUUCGAUGCAACGCGAGACCUUACCUGGGUUUGACAUGCACAGGACGCCGCAGAGAUGUCGGUCCCUGGGCCUGGGUGCAGUGUUCAUGCUGUCCUCAGCUCGGGGCGUGAAUGUUGGGUAGUCGGCACGAGCGCACCCUUGUUCCAUGUGCAGGCC
rnacentral:rRNA from 1 species